AUUGAACGCUGGCGGCUACGCCGUGUACACAUGCAAGUCGAACGGCAGCACGGGGGCAACCCUGGUGGCGAGUGGCGAACGGGUGAGUAAUAUUUCGGAACGUGUCCUGUAGUGGGGGAUAGCCCGGCGAAAGCCGGAUUAAUACCGCAUACGCUCUACGGAGGAAAGGGGGGGAUCUUAGGACCUCCCGCUACAGGGGCGGCCGAUGGCAGAUUAGCUAGUUGGUGGGGUAAAGGCCUACCAAGGCGACGAUCUGUAGCUGUCUGAGAGGACGACCAGCCACACUGGGACUGAGACACGGCCCAGACUCCUACGGGAGGCAGCAGUGGGGAAUUUUGGACAAUGGGGGCAACCCUGAUCCAGCAAUGCCGCGUGUGUGAAGAAGGCCUUCGGGUUGUAAAGCACUUUUGUCCGGAAAGAAAACGCCGUGGUUAAUACCCGUGGCGGAUGACGGUACCGGAAGAAUAAGCACCGGCUAACUAC
rnacentral:rRNA from 1 species